AUUGAACGCUGGCGGCAGGCCUAACACAUGCAAGUCGAACGAGUGGCGGACGGGGGAGUAAUUUCUUGGCAACUGCCUAAUGUAGGGGGCUAACUACUGUAACAGUUAGCUACUACCGCAUACCAUCAGAUCUGCCAAUAUGGGAUUAGCUUGUUGGUGGGGUAAAGGCUAACCACGGCGACGAUCCCUAGAUGGUCUGAGAGGAUGACCAGCAACACUGGAACUGAGACACGGUCCAGACGCCGACGGGAGGCAGAAGUGGGGAAUAUUGCACAAUGGGCGAAAGCCUGAUGCAGCCAUGCCGCGUGUAUGAAGAAGGCCUUCGGGUUGUAAAGUACUUUCAGCGGGGAGGCGUUACCCGCAGAGGAAGCAACGGCUAACUCCGUGCCAGCAGCCGCGGUAAUUC
rnacentral:rRNA from 1 species